rnacentral:rRNA from 1 species
UACAGAGGGUGCGAGCGUUGUUCGGAAUUAUUGGGCGUAAAGGGCGCGUAGGCGGUGCGGUAAGUCACCUGUGAAAUCUCCUGGCUCAACUGGGAGCUUGCAGGCGAAACUGCCGUGCUGGAGUGUGGGAGAGGUGCGUGGAAUUCCUGGUGUAGCGGUGAAAUGCGUAGAUAUCGGGAGGAACACCUGCGGUGUAGACGGCUUUCUGGACCAUUGUUGACGCUGAGACACGAAAGCGUGGGUAGCAAACAGG